AAGGGACUCCGUUGACACCAGAGAGAGGCUGCUGGGUGACCAGAUGAUGCCAGCAAGACCUCCUCUUCCAUCUAUUCCUGGUGGUGAAGGAGAAGCAACGGCUGUGGAAGCAGCUCAGGGUCCAGUGUGCUUUGAAGACGUCGCUGUUCAUUUCACAGAUGAGG